AAUGUACCGAGAUGUUGCACCCUCCAUGUCGUUCCUAGGCAACGUGGUUGCUAUAUAAAUCUAGCCAAUCAGAUCGCGAGGUCGAUUGUCCGCCAUUACCUCCGUCAACUUGUCGGACCUCAGUUGAACACCGCGAGAAUACAUAUGUAAACAGAAAAUGGUGAAAAAGUGCUCGUGGGGAACUUGCAACAGUAACGGCCGAUACUCUGAUAGAUUGGAGGGCGGUGUUGUAUAUUCUACAAUUCAUGGAACCUAAAACAUACAGCUUUGGAAGUUUUGUCAGCAGCAGCUUAAAUAAAGAGGCUAGAACAACAACUACAUAGAUAUGAGCUGCUGAAUUUGCACCAUGAACAA